AUGCUUCUCAACAUCAGUGCUGAAGAAGAGGUUCUUUCCCCUGCAGGCCUUGACAACGUCAUCGAGGCCGGGCUCGUAGAUCGGGAGGGUGUCGCUGUUCCAGGCGUCAAUGCGGGGCUUGGAGAUGUCGACGACCACCACCUCGAUCGCCGGGCACUUGAUGGCAAUGACGGCCAUGGUUGGGCCGCCGACGUAGCCAGCUCCGAUGCAGCAGAUCUUCACCAUCUUGGUUGCUUACAACCUAUCUCAGGAACUCGGAGAAGAUCUGGAGAGGAGGGGCGCGCACUGCUGGAGGAAAGCAACGGAGGGGACUUCUUGGUGGAUGCAGAGAAGAAGCUGCUGCCCACGGUUUGUAUGCAGAGAGGAGGCUGCAACUCCUUAUAUACCCCUUUGCCCGAAGCCACCAGGUUGGAUCUACCCCUCCCCUCCCCGCUCUGGAAAAUUAACCGUGUGAAGACCGGUCAGAAUUCAGAAACCGGAAUAAAUUGA
rnacentral:rRNA from 1 species